GAUGAACGCUGGCGGCGUGCCUAAUACAUGCAAGUCGAGCGAACGGACGAGAAGCUUGCUUCUCUGAUGUUAGCGGCGGACGGGUGAGUAACACGUGGAUAACCUACCUAUAAGACUGGCAUAACUUCGGGAAACCGGAGCUAAUACCGUAUAAUAUUUUGAACCGCAUUGUUCAAAAGUGAAAGACGGUCUUGCUGUCACUUAUAGCUGGAUCCGCGCUGCAUUAGCUAGUUGGUAAGGUAACGGCUUACCAAGGCAACGAUGCAUAGCCGACCUGAGAGGGUGAUCGGCCACACUGGACCUGAGACACGGUCCAGACUCCUACGGGAGGCAGCAGUAGGGAAUCUUCCGCAAAGGGCGAAAGCCUGACGGAGCAACGCCGCGUGAGCGAUGAAGGUCUUCGGAUCGUAAAACUCUGUUAUUAGGGAAGAACAUAUGUGUAAGUAACUGUGCACAUCUUGACGGUACCUAAUCAGAAAGCCACGGCUAACUACGUG
rnacentral:rRNA from 1 species